AGCAUUUUCGGUUUUCGGCCGAAAUACUUUUAUCACCGAAACAAUACGGCCGAAAUGAUGACGCAAACCGAAGCCGCGACCUGCACGUGCUUGUCUGAAGCAACAUGUAUGCGGUGUGGAUUAGUGAUGGAUCGUUCGCGAACGAGCUGAUUCUUUGUAGCGAACGAGCAGAGCCGAAUCUUAAGACGCAGUGUCACCAUAGAUAUGUAUCUAUGGUGUCACCGUAAGAGCCGGCUCUUCUAAGGGAGCCGAGCCAGAAGAGCCGAAUCUAUGAAAAGAGCCGGACUGCCAUCACUAAAAUGUAGAGCCGGAGCUUGAGCCGAAAGAGCCAAAUCUUUGGAAAGAGCCGGACUGCCCAUCACUAGUGUGGAUGUAUUUAAGCGCAAAAAAGCCGCUAAAGAGAGCAGUUGUCUGUACGCACAGAGGCACAUGCGAUUGAAAAUGUCCGAGACGUGAUCAUCACAGUGAGUACGCCCUUCAAAGAUCAGAACUCUUGGUGUGUAAACUUUAGAGAGAGUCGCGCAAAUGUGUCUCAUACUGUAGUCCAUUAACAUACAUUAGCCGAAUAAAACAAUGAAAAACAACGUAACGUUUGCAUGCUGCGCUGUUUGGGAUUUGCCCUCGGACUCUGUGUGCGCGCGCGUUUAAGUCCCCUCGAUAGUGCACACACGAGUGAGACGCAAACAAGCGAACAUAAAAUCUUUGUGUUCUUGACAGGGCACAUAUAAACAAAAUUAUCUCCACAGUAUUCUUUUUCUAAUAAAAACAUUUGUUUAUGUCUUAAGUGUAUGUAUAGAUUACAGUCAGAAACCAGUCUCUGCUUAUUUAAAGAGACAGUAACCUAAAUAAGUCUGUGUCAUUAAUGUUAAUCAAACAACCCAAGACAAAGAGAAAAUCACUUCUGUAGAUCUAAAAAUAGGAAUAUAUUUAAUUUAUACAAUAAAGACAGUGUUAUAACUCAUUUAAUUUGAUUUCUGUACCUAAUGUUAGCCCUUAUUAAUGUGCAACUUUGUUCUUUUUUAUAAAUGUCUUUGUUUUAUUUUUUAUAAAUUUCUAUAUUUCGUUUUUUUCAAUUCUUUAUUUGUUAUUAGAUUUUCUCCACCCCCUUUUCGCUGAUCUUAAAAAUAAUCCGAUCUGUGCCUCAAAAACUGUAAUGUGAUCCGAACCGUGAGUUUUGUGAUCUGUCACACACCCCUAGUAAAGUUAGUACACAGUGAUAGCCAUAAAUGCAUUUGUACCAAUAAUUGGCAUAAUGAUUUAUUUCGGUGUUUCGGUUUCGGUGUUUCGGCCUUGGUUUCCUCUUUUUCGGUUUUCGGUUUCGGCCAAGAAUUUUCAUUUCGGUGCAUCCCUACUUUUUAU